UACGAAGGGAGCUAGCGUUGUUCGGAAUUACUGGGCGUAAAGCGCGCGCAGGCGGUCUUCCAAGUCAGUGGUGAAAGCCCGGAGCUCAACUCCGGAACUGCCAUUGAAACUGUAAGACUUGAGGACGAGAGAGGUGAGUGGAAUUCCCAGUGUAGAGGUGAAAUUCGUAGAUAUUGGGAAGAACACCGGUGGCGAAGGCGGCUCACUGGCUCGUAUCUGACGCUCAGGCGCGACAGCGUGGGGAUCAAACAGG
rnacentral:rRNA from 1 species